GACAGAGGGUGCGAACGUUGUUCGGAAUUACUGGGCGUAAAGCGCAUGUAGGCGGCAGCGCAAGUCGGGCGUGAAAUCCCACGGCUCAACCGUGGAAGUGCACUCGAAACUGCGCAGCUAGAGUCCUGGAGAGGAAGGUGGAAUGCUUGGUGUAGAGGUGAAAUUCGUAGAUAUCGUAAGGAAGACCAGUGGCGAAGGCGGGUCUCUGGACAGUUCCUGACGCUGAGGCACGAAGGCCAGGGGAGCAAACGGG
rnacentral:rRNA from 1 species